rnacentral:rRNA from 1 species
CAGCAGCCACGGGAAUACGGAGGGGGCUAGCGUUGUUCGGAAUUACUGGGCGUAAAGCGCACGUAGGCGGCUUUGUAAGUUAGAGGUGAAAGCCCGGAGCUCAACUCCGGAAUUGCCUUUAAGACUGCAGAGCUAGCAGGUGAGAGAGGUGAGUGGAAUUCCGAGUGUAGAGGUGAAAUUCGUAGAUAUUCGGAAGAACACCAGUGGCGAAGGCGGCUCACUGUCUCAUACUGGACGCUGAGGUGCGAAAGCGUGGGGAGCAAACAGGAUUAGAUACCCCCGUAGUCCCUGUCUCUUAUAC